AUUGAACGCUGGCGGCAUGCCUUACACAUGCAAGUCGAACGGCAGCACGGGUGCUUGCACCUGGUGGCGAGUGGCGAACGGGUGAGUAAUGCAUCGGAACGUGCCCAGUCGUGGGGGAUAACGCAGCGAAAGUUGUGCUAAUACCGCAUACGUCCUGAGGGAAAAAGCAGGGGAUCUUCGGACCUGGUGCGAUUGGAGCGGCCGAUGUCAGAUUAGCUAGUUGGUGAGGUAAAAGCUCACCAAGGCGACGAUCUGUAGCUGGUCUGAGAGGAUGAUCAGCCACACUGGAACUGAGACACGGUCCAGACUCCUACGGGAGGCAGCAGUGGGGAAUUUUGGACAAUGGGGGCAACCCUGAUCCAGCCAUGCCGCGUGAGUGAAGAAGGCCUUCGGGUUGUAAAGCUCUUUCGGCCGGGAAGAAAUCGUGCAGGCUAAUACCCUGUAUGGAUGACGGUACCGGAAUAAGAAGCACCGGCUAACUACGUGCCAGCAGCCGCCGUAAAAC
rnacentral:rRNA from 1 species